rnacentral:rRNA from 1 species
UACAGAGGGGGCGAGCGUUGUUCGGAAUUACUGGGCGGAAAGGGCGCGUAGGCGGCCCGCUAAGUCGAACGUGAAAUCCCCAGGCUCAACCUGGGAACUGCGUCCGAUACUGGCAGGCUUGAAUCCGGGAGAGGGAUGUGGAAUUCCAGGUGUAGCGGUGAAAUGCGUAGAUAUCUGGAGGAACACCGGUGGCGAAGGCGGCAUCCUGGACCGGUAUUGACGCUGAGGCGCGAAAGCUAGGGGAGCAAACGGG